UACGUAGGGUGCAAGCGUUGUCCGGAAUUAUUGGGCGUAAAGAGCUCGUAGGCGGUCUGUCGCGUCUGCUGUGAAAACUCGGGGCUCAACCCCGAGCCUGCGUUCGAUACUGCACGGCUAGAGUCUGGUAGGGGGAUCUGGAAUUCCUGGUGUAGCGGUGGAAUGCGCAGAUAUCAGGAGGAACACCCGUAGCGAAGGCGGCACUCUGGGCCGAUACUGACACUGAGGAGCGAAAGCGUGGGGAGCGAACAGG
rnacentral:rRNA from 1 species